UCUGCAUCUCGCCUCUACUAAGCUCACAAACUAAGCAUUAUCUAGACAUUCCUCACUAUACUUAAGCUAAGUUUAGUGAUUUACACACUACGAAUUUUCCUUUGGAGAUCUACCUCUACUGCUUUAUUUCCUAGCUAAUCUCUGAGAAGCAAUCCAGAAAUUCCAACUGCCUGAGUUGUUUUGUCAGGUAUAUUAGAUUGAAGAAGAUGAAUAUGGCCUACCAGAUCUGGAAAAUCCAAGACUCAGGCUGGGUUGAUGAUGAUUUUUCUACAGUUCAUCGGGAUGGAGGGAUCCAACACGGGGCAAACUCCCGGUCUGCAGCCAUGGCGUGCUUCAAAUAUUUCAAGCAAAUGUGCAGGUGUUCUCAU